ensembl:misc_RNA Metazoa_SRP Metazoan signal recognition particle RNA
GCCUGGUGUGGUGGCACACACCUGUAAUCCCAGCUACUUAGGAGGCUGAGGCAGGAGAAUCGCUUGAGCCUAGGAGGCAUAGGUUGCAGUGAGCCAAGAUCAUGCCACUGCACUCCAGCCUGGGCAACAGAGUGAGAGUCUGUCUCAA